rnacentral:rRNA from 1 species
UACGUAGGGUGCAAGCGUUGUCCGGAAUUAUUGGGCGUAAAGAGCUCGUAGGCGGUUUGUCGCGUCUGCUGUGAAAACCCGAGGCUCAACCUCGGGCCUGCAGUGGGUACGGGCAGACUAGAGUGCGGUAGGGGAGAUUGGAAUUCCUGGUGUAGCGGUGGAAUCGCAGAUAUCAGGAGGAACACCAGUGGCGAAGGCAGCUCGCUGGGACGGUACUGACGCUGAGACGCGAAAGCGUGGGGAGCAAACAGG